rnacentral:rRNA from 1 species
UCCUACGGGAGGCAGCAGUGAGGAAUAUUGGUCAAUGGUCGGGAGACUGAACCAGCCAAGCCGCGUGAGGGAUGAAGGUACAGAGUAUCGUAAACCUCUUUUGUCAGGGAACAAAGGCGGGGACGUGUCCCCGGAUGAGUGUACCUGAAGAAAAAGCAUCGGCUAACUCCGUGCCAGCAGCCGCGGUAAUACGGAGGAUGCGAGCGUUAUCCGGAUUUAUUGGGUUUAAAGGGUGCGUAGGCGGAAUGCCAAGUCAGCGGUAAAAUCGCGGGGCUCAACCUCGCUCCGCCGUUGAAACUGGCGUU